rnacentral:rRNA from 3 species
UGGGGGAUAACGUCCGGAAACGGACGCUAAUACCGCAUACGUCCUACGGGAGAAAGCAGGGGACCUUCGGGCCUUGCGCUAUCAGAUGAGCCUAGGUCGGAUUAGCUAGUUGGUGGGGUAAUGGCUCACCAAGGCGACGAUCCGUAACUGGUCUGAGAGGAUGAUCAGUCACACUGGAACUGAGACACGGUCCAGACUCCUACGGGAGGCAGCAGUGGGGAAUAUUGGACAAUGGGCGAAAGCCUGAUCCAGCCAUGCCGCGUGUGUGAAGAAGGUCUUCGGAUUGUAAAGCACUUUAAGUUGGGAGGAAGGNCAGUAAAUUAAUACUUUGCUGUUUUGACGUUACCGACAGAAUAAGCACCGGCUAACUCUGUGCCAGCAGCCGCGGUAAUACAGAGGGUGCAAGCGUUAAUCGGAAUUACUGGGCGUAAAGCGCGCGUAGGUGGUUCGUUAAGUUGGAUGUGAAAUCCCCGGGCUCAACCUGGGAACUGCAUUCAAAACUGACGAGCUAGAGUAUGGUAGAGGGUGGUGGAAUUUCCUGUGUAGCGGUGAAAUGCGUA